rnacentral:piRNA from 1 species
UACCACAGCACUAAAAAUCCUAAUAAAACA